rnacentral:rRNA from 1 species
UACGUAGGGUGCGAGCGUUAAUCGGAAUUACUGGGCGUAAAGCGUGCGCAGGCGGUUUGAUAAGCCAGAUGUGAAAUCCCCGAGCUCAACUUGGGAACUGCGUUUGGAACUGUCAGACUAGAGUGCGUCAGAGGGGGGUGGAAUUCCGCGUGUAGCAGUGAAAUGCGUAGAGAUGCGGAGGAACACCGAUGGCGAAGGCAGCCCCCGGGGAUGACACUGACGCUCAUGCACGAAAGCGUGGGGAGCAAACAGG